rnacentral:rRNA from 1 species
AUUGAACGCUGGCGGCAUGCCUUACACAUGCAAGUCGAACGGCAGCGGACCUUCGGGUGCCGGCGAGUGGCGAACGGGUGAGUAAUGCAUCGGAACGUGCCAUUGAGUGGGGGAUAACGUAGCGAAAGUUACGCUAAUACCGCAUAUUCUGUGAGCAGGAAAGCAGGGGACCGCAAGGCCUUGCGCUCUUUGAGCGGCCGAUGUCAGAUUAGCUAGUUGGUGAGGUAAAGGCUUACCAAAGCGACGAUCUGUAGCGGGUCUGAGAGGAUGAUCCGCCACACUGGAACUGAGACACGGUCCAGACUCCUACGGGAGGCAGCAGUGGGGAAUUUUGGACAAUGGGCGCAAGCCUGAUCCAGCCAUGCCGCGUGAGUGAAGAAGGCC